UGAAUACUGAUCGAGGAAAUUGCAUUGAUCACGUACCACUGCAUAUAUCAUAUGUAUGUACUACUACUUUAUUUACCAGAUCGAUCGAUCAGCUGACUUUCUCUUCUUUCCUUGACUAAUCUAUCAUCUAUCUAUCUAUCCAUCCAUCUUCAUUAAUUAUUACUACAGAUAUACUUGUAAAGAAAAGAAAAGUAGUAGUAAAACCAAGAACACAUACAAAAUUAAAGGCAGGGUAUGCAUGACUCACUCUGCUGAUCAAUCGAUCGAUUGAUCUCAAUUCAAUUCAAGGGUAGAUAUGAUCAGUCUGUGAAAGAAAGCCAACCCCAUCCCAAUUUCCACCCACCAACUCAUCACCAGUUUAAUUGGGUACUUUUUGUUUUAUAUAAACAAACACAUAACAGAGAGAGAGAGAGAGAGAGAGAGAGAGAGAGAGAGAGAGAGAGAGAGAUUAAUAACAUAUACUCAGAGAGCUCAGCUAGCCAUCCUGCCAGCCUUGAAGGAGAAAUAUCCACCCAAUAGCAGAGGUGAUGAUGUGAGGUAAGGACCAAGCAGGAGAAAGUUUGUGCCUGCAACGUACGUAACAACCAUACCAGUAGGCAGUAGCCAGGCCACCAUGGGUAGACCGCCUUGCUGUGAUAAGGUUGGCAUCAAGAAGGGACCGUGGACACCUGAGGAAGACAUCAUAUUGGUAUCAUACAUUCAAGAACAUGGACCAGGAAAUUGGAGAUCAGUGCCUACUAAUACAGGUAAUUAAUUUAACUAGCUACCAUACACACCUAAUAUGCAACUGCUUGUCGCAUACUCCUGCUACGCUACUCCUUCUUCGACAAAGGAAGGAGAUGAUGAAACCUCGAAGUCUAGUUAUAUAUACAUGCCAGUGUCACUACCCUUCAUUCUGCAUCAGCAGCACCACCUAAUACUAAAAAUAUUCAUCUGAAUUGCACUUCAAUGGAUGGAUAUACAACUUCAGAAACUUGCAGAUCCACCAAUUGGUUUUUUAUUUAAUUUUUUUUUUUCUUUUUUUCCAUCCAAACAUGAGGUUUCCAGUCAACAACCAACUUUUAUUAUUUAAGAGUAUAUGCUUGUUUGAAUCUCAAUCACUGAUUGACCAGUAUAUAUAUGAUCUCAUCUCAUGCAUGUUUUGCCCUUCAACUGCUAAC
rnacentral:lncRNA from 1 species